AGCCACUAUGGAGAACAAUUUGAACGUUCCUCAAAAAACUAAAAAUUGAACUACCAUAUGAUCCAGCAAUCCCACUGCUGGGUAUAUACUGAAAAGAAAGGAAAUCAGUAUAUCAAAGAGAUAUCUACACUCCUAUGUUUGUUGCAGCAUUGUUUACAAUAGCUAAGAUCUAGAAGCAACCUAAGUGUCUAUCAACAUAUGAAUGGAUAAAGAAAAUGUGGUGCAUAUUCACAAUGGACUACUAUUCAGCCAUAAGAAAGAAUGAGAUCCAGUUAUUUGCAACAACAUAGAUGGAACUGGAGAACAUUUUGCUAAGUGAAAUAAGCCAGACACAGAAACACAAAUAUCACAUACGAGGUAAAGUAUGUGUCUGAUUGGCUAAGUCUAGGUCAUAUGACCACACUCAAGCUGCAAGGCUGGAGAACACAGAAGAGUAUGUGGCCUUUUCAGUAUAUACAGAUGGUUUCAACCUACGAUGGUUCAAUUUAUUAUUUUUUUGACUCUACAGUGGGUUUGUGGGC
rnacentral:lncRNA from 1 species